rnacentral:rRNA from 1 species
UACGGAGGGUGCUAGCGUUGUUCGGAAUUAUUGGGCUUAAAGCGCGCGUAGGCGGCUAUUUAAGUCAGAGGUGAAAGCCCGGGGCUCAACCCCGGAACUGCCUUUGAAACUAGGUAGCUAGAAUCUUGGAGAGGUCAGUGGAAUUCCGAGUGUAGAGGUGAAAUUCAUAGAUAUUAGGAAGAACACCAGUGGCGAAGGCGACUGACUGGACAAGUAUUGACGCUGAGGUGCGAAAGCGUGGGGAGCAAACAGG